rnacentral:rRNA from 1 species
UGCAGUCGAGCGGACGUUUUUGAAGCUUGCUUCAAAAACGUUAGCGGCGGACGGGUGAGUAACACGUGGGCAACCUACCUUAUCGACUGGGAUAACUCCGGGAAACCGGGGCUAAUACCGGAUAACAUCUAGCACCUCCUGGUGCCGGAUUAAAAGAGGGCUUCUUGCUCUCACGAUGAGAUGGGCCCGCGGCGCAUUAGCUAGUUGGAGAGGUAACGGCUCCCCAAGGCGACGAUGCGUAGCCGACCUGAGAGGGUGAUCGGCCACACUGGGACUGAGACACGGCCCAGACUCCUACGGGAGGCAGCAGUAGGGAAUCUUCCGCAAUGGACGAAAGUCUGACGGAGCAACGCCGCGUGAGUGAUGAAGGGUUUCGGCUCGUAAAGCUCUGUUAUGAGGGAAGAACACGUACCGUUCGAAUAGGGCGGUACCUUGACGGUACCUCAUCAGAAAGCCACGGCUAACUACGUGCCAGCAGCCGCGGUAAUACGUAGGUGGCAAGCGUUGUCCGGAAUUAUUGGGCGUAAAGCGCGCGCAGGCGGCCUUUUAAGUCUGAUGUGAAAUCUUGCGGCUCAACCGCAAGCGGCCAUUGGAAACUGGGAGGCUUGAGUACAGAAGAGGAGAGUGGAAUUCCACGUGUAGCGGUGAAAUGCGUAGAUAUGUGGAGGAACACCAGUGGCGAAGGCGACUCUCUGGUCUGUAACUGACGCUGAGGCGCGAAAGCGUGGGGAGCAAACA